rnacentral:misc_RNA from 1 species
AAGUCGUAACAAGGUUUCCGUAGGUGAACCUGCGGAAGGAUCAUUAACACGUAUCCAAACGUUAAACCCCCCUGUGAACCUUCAGUCGUACUCGUACGUCCGUUAGAAAAAGCAGCAAUCCCUGGUAAAUCAUCGCCGAACAGUUUUCGAUUCAGGGACGUCUGCAAGGAGCGUGCAUGUUGUGCGUGUAAGUGGCCUGGCAUCCCCAAGCAGUUAGUGUCUGAAAGUGUCACUAACGUUAGUGUCUGAAAGUGUCACUAACAUGUGUAAGGAUGACGCACACGGCCGACGACCGGGUCACUGGGUGCAAGCCCCCUUAUCACACCCCUGCUCUAUCUAUGGUGAUCCUGCGGGAAGUCCUGCGGUCGAACGCCGAAACCGAACAACUGUUAACAAUGGAUAUCUUGGUUCUC